rnacentral:rRNA from 1 species
AGUGGGGAAUUUUGGACAAUGGGCGCAAGCCUGAUCCAGCCAUGCCGCGUGCAGGAUGAAGGCCUUCGGGUUGUAAACUGCUUUUGUACGGAACGAAAAAGUUCUCUCUAAUACAGGGGGCGAAUGACGGUACCGUAAGAAUAAGCACCGGCUAACUACGUGCCAGCAGCCGCGGUAAUACGUAGGGUGCGAGCGUUAAUCGGAAUUACUGGGCGUAAAGCGUGCGCAGGCGGUGAUGUAAGACAGAUGUGAAAUCCCCGGGCUCAACCUGGGAACUGCCUUUGUGACUGCAUAGCUGGAGUGCGGCAGAGGGGGAUGGAAUUCCGCGUGUAGCAGUGAAAUGCGUAGAUAUGCGGAGGAACACCGAUGGCGAAGGCAAUCCCCUGGGCCUGCACUGACGCUCAUGCACGAAAGCGUGGGGAGCAAA